rnacentral:rRNA from 1 species
UGGCGGACGGGUGAGUAAUGUCUGGGAAACUGCCUGAUGGGGGGGGAUAACUACUGGAAACGGUAGCUAAUACCGCAUAACGUCGCAAGACCAAAGAGGGGGACCUUCGGGCCUCUUGCCAUCAGAUGUGCCCAGAUGGGAUUAGCUAGUAGGUGGGGUAACGGCUCACCUAGGCGACGAUCCCUAGCUGGUCUGAGAGGAUGACCAGCCACACUGGAACUGAGACACGGUCCAGACUCCUACGGGAGGCAGCAUG